CGACGUGGAUUAUGUCUUAGCUGCCUAAGCAGUGACAGACACAGUCGUCCUGACUGGUAACGGUCAGUGAGUACGAUCGGGUGAAUUGCUGGAAACCCCUGAAGCUUUCUUCCCCACAACGUAACUGGAAACGGUAAGCGUGACGGGCCGAAAAGAAGAGAGAUUGGGCAAUCAGCAGCCAAGCUCCUGUCUCGAAAGAGUGGAGAAGGUUCAACGACUAGGGUAUACCAUCUACAGCACAUGCCAUGAUGAUGAAACCCAUAGGAAACGCAAGACUGAGUACCUUGCCAAUCCGAAGUGCCCGACCCCUACCGAGCAAUCGAAGGGUGAAGAUAUAGUCUAGUCAUUCAUGAAAGUGAAUG
rnacentral:ncRNA from 1 species